rnacentral:lncRNA from 1 species
CUCCAGUGGGUGGAGUCUGCAUGAAGUCGUGCAUGGGAACUCUAUCCUUUCUGGCCCAGCCAGACUAGGGCUGCUUUUUCUCCAUUCAGCUGAGUGAGGGCCUGUUGCUGCCAGGCAGAAAGAGAAUAUUUCCUCCUCUAAGGUCAGCUCGGAAUGUAUGGGGUCAAAACGAGGCAGUGGCAAAGGCAUUUGGAGACUGAUGAAAACAUUCGCUGAUGUAGGGUUUUGGAGGCUACGUGUUUGGAAGAAAUAAACUGUGGGAUUAUCUACAUGAAAGGGAAGGAUUCCUGAGCUUGUACAGUCUGAAUCGACUCCCUAGCUAGAAAGGCUUUCCAAAUCAAUCCUUCUCCAACUGAUCAUCACUAUGGGAGAACAAGACAUGCUCUAUGAAUGAUCUUACACUUCUGCAAAUGGCUAUUCCUGAAGUGACAUCUAAGAGAGGACAGAUAAAGAGAAUUAGAUAUGAUUCUUAAAGCAGAGUUCCAGUUUUUAUUCUUCAGACAAGUUUGUUCUCUCCCUGCACACAAACUUGUUUCUGCAGCAGGGAGGAGAGCAGUCAGGCAGCUCUUGAGUUGCUUCACCAUCUGUUUCUCAGCUCUUUGUUCAAAAUGCCUGAUCAGAAGCCUGUAAACCGUGUUGUCUUCUGGACACAGGGUGCAAGAGGAUGAGAAGAAACUGACAAACUGAUAG